rnacentral:rRNA from 1 species
UACGGGGGGGGCAAGCGUUGUUCGGAAUUACUGGGCGUAAAGGGCUCGUAGGUGGCCAACUAAGUCGGACGUGAAAUCCCUCGGCUUAACCGGGGAACUGCGUCCGAUACUGGUUGGCUUGAGUUUGGGAGAGGGAUGCGGAAUUCCAGGUGUAGCGGUGAAAUGCGUAGAUAUCUGGAGGAACACCGGUGGCGAAAGCGGCCCACUGGACCUUCUCUGACGCUGAGGUGCGAAAGCUAGGGUAGCAAACGGG